AGUGAACGCUGGCGGUAGGCCUAACACAUGCAAGUCGAACGGCAGCACAGUAAGAGCUUGCUCUUACGGGUGGCGAGUGGCGGACGGGUGAGGAAUACAUCGGAAUCUACUUUUUCGUGGGGGAUAACGUAGGGAAACUUACGCUAAUACCGCAUACGACCUACGGGUGAAAGCAGGGGAUCUUCGGACCUUGCGCGAUUGAAUGAGCCGAUGUCGGAUUAGCUAGUUGGCGGGGUAAAGGCCCACCAAGGCGACGAUCCGUAGCUGGUCUGAGAGGAUGAUCCGCCCCACUGGAACUUGAACAACGUCCAGACUCCUACGGGAGGCCGCAGUGGGGAAUUAUGGACAAUGGGCGCAAGCCUGAUCCAGCCAUACCGCGUUGGUUAAGAAGGCCUUCGGGUUGUAAAGCCCUUUUGUUGGGAAAGAAAAGCAGCAGGUUAAUACCCCGCUGUUCUGACGGUACCCAAAGAAUAAGCACCGGCUAACUUCGUG
rnacentral:rRNA from 1 species